AGAACACAGACAGAAACAGACACA
rnacentral:siRNA from 1 species